rnacentral:rRNA from 1 species
UACGUAGGGUGCGAGCGUUAAUCGGAAUUACUGGGCGUAAAGCGUGCGCAGGCGGUUCGUUGUGUCGGCGGUGAAAGCCCCGGGCUCAACCUGGGAAUGGCCGUUGAAACUGGCGAACUGGAGUGUGGCAGAGGGGGGUGGAAUUCCGCGUGUAGCAGUAAAAUGCGUAGAGAUGCGGAGGAACACCGAUGGCGAAGGCAGCCCCCUGGGCUGACACUGACGCUCAGGCACGAAAGCGUGGGGAGCAAACAGG